GGCUCGGUAGCUUAGUUGUUAAAGCGCUCGUCUAGCAUACAAGAGUCCUGGGUUCGAUUCCCAGCCUAGCAC
rnacentral:tRNA from 1 species